rnacentral:rRNA from 1 species
UACGGAGGGUGCGAGCGUUGUCCGGAAUCACUGGGCGUAAAGGGCGCGUAGGCGGCGCGGGAAGUCCGUGGUGAAAGCCCGAGGCUCAACUUCGGGUCGGCCAUGGAUACUCCUGGGCUUGAGCACUGUAGAGGCAGGUGGAAUUCCGGGUGUAGCGGUGGAAUGCGCAGAUAUCAGGAGGAACACCGGUGGCGAAGGCGGGUCUCUGGGCAGUAACUGACGCUGAGGAGCGAAAGCGUGGGGAGCGAACAGG